rnacentral:rRNA from 1 species
AUACGUAGGGGGCAAGCGUUGUCCGGAAUUACUGGGCGUAAAGCGCACGCAGGCGGUUGGUUAAGUCAGGUGUGAAAGUUUGGGGCUCAACCCCAAAAUUGCAUUUGAUACUGGCUGACUUGAGUCUCGGAGAGGUAAGCGGAAUUCCUAGUGUAGCGGUGAAAUGCGUAGAGAUUAGGAAGAACACCGGUGGCGAAGGCGGCUUACUGGACGAGUACUGACGCUCAUGUGCGAAAGCGUGGGGAGC